AGAUCCACAAGUUCUAGAGGAUCAUUUGCAAUUGGUUGAUCACCUAAUUGAAUCUCAAUUCAGUGAAAAAAUUACAACAUUUGAAAAUGUUCAAGUGGAACCUUUACAGGGUAUUAUUACACAAGAGCAGGAUGCACACAAUGCUGAAGAAAGGAGGUCAGAAAGGAAAAAACUUGAAACAAUGAGACAAAGAAAGAAGGGCAUAAUUGAA